AUUGGCUUAUAAGUCCCAAAUUAAAAAACAAAUGUUAGGUAAACACUAUAGAUUGUUAACGGUUUCAAUGUGGAUUUAAGCAGUAUUUAUUGUGAGAAACUUCGUUUAAUUUCAUAAAAUUCAAUGCAUUUUGCUUCUCAUCUCAUGCUGUGUGAAUGAACACAAGGAAAUUUUAAAUCCAACACCUUUUUGUGAACAAAAGUGAGAGGGGAGAGAAGAACAUGAUAGGCAAGAGAAGAAGGGGAGAAGGGAGGUACAUCAGGAAAGGGUAAGUUAUAGAGAGGAGGCAUAUCUGUUGAAUCGCUGGUUGGAGAGAUGGUGGUGCUGGCGGUGUUCGAUCCACAUCCUUUUUCUAACCCGCACCAACAAAAGAAAGAGAAGAGAUGGAGGCGCUGGGUAGAUAAAAGGAAAAUAAGAGAAGGGAGCCACGUCUAAGAAGAAAAUGGUGCAGAGAGAGGACUUACCCUCGCGUCGUCGUCGAUGAUGGCCUUGCCUGCGAUGCUUCUAUGCUGGAGCGGGGGAUGUCGAGUAUCAAAAAAGGCAUUCCUUGUUCUAGGAUUGAUAAUGAAAGUAACAUUAUUAGGAUUGAUAAUUUUUUUCUUUGUGAUCUCACAGUCGAUAUGCCAUUCCUUUCUUUUCGUACCCUUUUCACAAGUAAUUUCCUACUAAUGUUCUAGGCAAGAGCCUUCGUAGUUUUAUUUUUUAAAAAAUACACAGGCUUUUUUUCAGGUUGAUUACAUCAUUUGUGUAUCCUACGGUUCUUAGAUUGCUGAUGUUGGUUCUGGCUUCAUGCCAUUUCUAUAAGGUAUGCGAACAAUGUUGCUCUUCUGGUUUGCCUUUCUUGAGCUCUCAAUACAUUUGAUCACUGCUUUUGCUUCAAAAAGGUAUGUAUGUGUAGGUAGGGUUCAAGAUAAGGCAGGCUUUCAUUAGAUUCUACAAGCUCUCUCCUCUUUGCUAGGACAUGUACCUCCACACAAAAUCCCCCUUUGAAUUUUUCAGUUCUCUAGCAAGUUGAUCUCUUCCUUGUGCUCUUUCUACGUAUAUACAUGCCCCAUUUUUCUAUCAUUUUUCUUUUGGUUCUUCCCUGUAAUGCUGUUUGGCUCUUUGUAUUUUUGUUUUUAUAGCUGUAGAUUAUACUUCUGCGCUGUUGUGUUGAUAGCUUUGUUUGGUGCUUAUACAUUUGCGUAGAUAUUGUCAUGCCUUCUAGAUUGUUCUAAUGAUUUUGAUGAUUUGUUAUGUGUUGAGUGUGAUGCUCUCUUUCAAUUUGAUGUUGAUUGGAUUCUUCACAUAUUAGAUCAUAUACAACUAACUGUUUUUAUGUCUUUCAAUAACCUGGUAAUUUGUUUUGUUUUCCAGGUUCUGUUAUUCCACAGGAUUUCCCAAACCUUUUGUCCAGUGAUUUAUGAUAAAGUAGGGCAAUAUUGUGUUGUCUUCAUUCCCAUCACAAGAUACCGAAGUGAAAGUCGCCAUGCUGCAAGAACUGUCCACGCCUUCCGUGGAGGAAAUUGG